UGCCAGCCGCCGCGGUAAUACGGAGGGUGCAAGCGUUAUCCGGAAUUAUUGGGUUUAAAGGGUGCGUAGGUGGAAAUUUAAGUCAGUGGUGAAAGCCCACAGCUCAACUGUGGAAUUGCCAUUGAUACUGAAUUUCUUGAAUCUGAUUGAAGUAGGCGGAACAUGACAUGUAGCGGUGAAAUGCUUAGAUAUGUCAUAGAACACCGAUAGCGAAGGCAGCUUACUAAGUCGUCAUUGACGCUGAGGGACGAAAGCGUGGGGAGCGAACAGGAUUAGAUA
rnacentral:rRNA from 1 species